UGAACUAGUAGAAGGGUUCUGGUUGCAGACUGAGGAGGACCGUAAGAACCUGGCACGUCUACAGGACCUCAUCAACAAACUGCAGUCCAAGGUGAAGAGCUACAAACGCCAAGCUGAGGAAGUGGCUGAAGGAGGAGCAGGUGAACUCCAACCUGGCCAAGUUCAAGAUGGUGGAGAUGGCAGAAACGCUGGUCAACAAGCUAAACCUCCGAACCCAGGACCACGGAGGGAAGGCAGCAGAGUGAAGCGCCCCCAAACUCUGGAAAAUGUGUGGAACCACAAAACAGCUACAGUGUGGGGUAGAGAAAAAGAACUACACGCUGUAAUAACCCAUUAGGCUUGAAACAUGUAUGCUACCCAGAGCAACCACUGGCAGAAGGGGACAGGACAUGAACCUGCAGUUUGCCAAUAUUCCCAGAAGGUGGUGCUCUUGUACCUCUCAGCUAUGCAUCAGAAUUCACCCUGUCUGGAUAAAUGAAAGCAAACCAACAAAA